AGGAAAAAUUCGCUUAGCGUGACUUACCUCGUACUCGCAUGUUGUUCGGCUUUCGGUAUUUUGCACCGAGGCUGUGCAAUGGUGGGGAGUGUGGGAUCGAGGUCCUGAGAUGCUGUGUAUCUAAAGCCCUUUGAAGAGCAUACUGGCUGGUGCAGGAAAUCGCUUAAUAUUUAACAAACAAGUCAAGGACGGGGGCUUACGCAAAGCAGAACAGAAAUGGGUCAUGGGGCCUCGUUUUUCCCUCAGGAGGUGGGGUAGGGGGUCAUGAAACUAGGUGAUCUCCCGGUUGGCCUGCGGGCUACGGGCUACGAGACCGAUGCAUACUUCCAACGUAGCUACGAGCUAAAUUAAAAAUAACAGUUUUUACAUACAGCACUAUAAGUGCUUACAUCAAAUUGUCAUUUAUAAAAGCUUCAUGGAACCCUUUAAUAGGCUUCCGUGAAGCUUUGAAAUUAACCUUUUCCAAUAGACGAUAUCUAUUGUAAAAAAAUUGCACUUAUUUUCCGAAAUAUUUUUUACUUUAUUAUUGUAUUCCUAACAAUAAGCUAAAAAUUAUUUCGAAUAUUCAGCAUUAAU